AACGAACGCUGGCGGCAGGCCUAACACAUGCAAGUCGAACGCCCUAGCAAUAGGGAGUGGCAGACGGGUGAGUAACACGUGGGAACCUUCCCUAUAGUACGGAAUAUACCAGGGAAACUUGGAGCAAUACCGUAUACGCCCGAGAGGGGAAAGAUUUAUCGCUAUAGGAUGGGCCCGCGUAGGAUUAGCUAGUUGGUGAGGUAAUGGCUCACCAAGGCGACGAUCCUUAGCUGGUUUGAGAGAACGACCGGCCACACUGGGACUGAGACACGGCCCAGACUCCUACGGGAGGCAGCAGUGGGGAAUCUUGCGCAAUGGGCGAAAGCCUGACGCAGCGACGCCGCGUGAGGGAUGACGGCCUCG
rnacentral:rRNA from 1 species